CUGCACAGCGCGUCUUGCAGCGGACUGGAGCCUGCUUAGUCAGCGCCACAUCUGGCCCGUUUAGAUUUCUGCUUGUGUCUCCUCUGCCGGUUCUCCUGGGGUGUUGCUUAAGCAACCGCCUUGUGGGGGUGGGGUGGGUUUGGGCGGGGCGAGUGCGUAGCGCUGGUGUUUCUUUUUCUGGCGCGCGGUGGUGGUGGUUCUUGCGGUUAGGCUGUGGUGUAGGUUGGUGCUUGGGUUAGGUCUGGCGGUGUUUUUGUGCAACCCCUCCCGGGGGGCGGGGGGGCCAGCCUCCUGCUCUGUCUGCCGGGUCGGGGUGGGGUGGGGUGGGAUGGAUGGGGGUGGUUGGUGGCGGUUUUCGAGGUGUUUGUUUUCUGUUUUUCUUCUCUUUUCUUCUCUUCUUGCCCUGUCAGGGUUCUGGUCUCGGGGACCAGGCUGCUUUCAGGCAGCAGGGGGGCAGCGCGUCUGCCCCUGUUCAACCUUGUAAGGAUGAUUCCUCAAAAAAAAUAAGCUGGACACUCCAGGAAGAUGUGCGUUAGGCUGGCCCACGCCCGCGGGCCAGGUGGCCCGCAGGCGGGGUGAGGACAGUGCGCCCCCAACCCCCCGCACCCCGUGGUCACCCGUGGCCGAAUGCCCUUGCCCGCCCUGUACAGCCCGCAAGGCAGGUAAGCAUGUUGCAGCCAGUACACCAGCACCUUUGCCCCCCGACUGGCGUGGCUGUCCCACAGCCUCCGCCACGUACCCCGCAGAAGGGACGCAUCCGGGGACGGCAUGCGAGGGUCGCCCUCCACUGCCGCCGCUGCUGCCGCCGCCGCCGUGGCAGGCCCAGUGCUAGGUCCCGCCCCGCCCGCCGCCUGCUCCUGCAGCCGCGCGGACCGCCGCGGCCCCUCACCCGACUGCUGGGACGGGGACGCAUACGACUGCAGUUCUCUCGCCGGCGUGUUCUGCAGCCCGGCUGCCGCGGAGGUGCGGUGGAGCCAGGGGUCCAGAGCCACCGGGUUAUUGUGGAAGUGCUGCGCCGCCGUGGUGGUCAGCUGCGCCGCUGCACGCUGCCACUCCGCCUCCCGCUCCGCCAGCCGCGACUGUGCCGCCGGCUGGGUCCCCGAACCCCCCGCCUGCUGAGCUGGCGCCGGUUCUCCUGGGGUGUUGCUUAAGCAACCGACUUGUGGGGGUGGGGUGGGUUUGGGCGGGGCGAGUGCGUAGCGCUGGUGUUUUCUUUUCUGGCGCGCGGUCGUGGUGGGUCUUGCGGUUAGGCUGUGGUGUAGGUUGGUGCUUGGGUUAGGUCUGGCGGUGUUUUUGUGCAACC
rnacentral:lncRNA from 1 species